CAGUAGCCGCGGUAAUACGGAGGGUGCAAGCGUUAUCCGGAUUUAUUGGGUUUAAAGGGUCCGUAGGCGGAUCUGUAAGUCAGUGGUGAAAUCUCACAGCUUAACUGUGAAACUGCCAUUGAUACUGCAGGUCUUGAGUAAAUUUGAAGUGGCUGGAAUAAGUAGUGUAGCGGUGAAAUGCAUAGAUAUUACUUAGAACACCAAUUGCGAAGGCAGGUCACUAAGAUUUAACUGACGCUGAUGGACGAAAGCGUGGGGAGCGAACAGGAUUAGAGACCCGCGUAGUCCCUGUCUCUUAUAA
rnacentral:rRNA from 1 species